rnacentral:rRNA from 1 species
UACGUAGGGGGCAAGCGUUGUCCGGAAUUAUUGGGCGUAAAGCGCGUGUAGGCGGCUCGGUAAGUCUGCUGUGAAAGUCCAAGGCUCAACCUUGGAAAGCCGGUGGAUACUGUCGAGCUCGAGUCCGGAAGAGGCGAGUGGAAUUCCUGGUGUAGCGGUGAAAUGCGCAGAUAUCAGGAGGAACACCAAUGGCGAAGGCAGCUCGCUGGGACGGUACUGACGCUGAGACGCGAAAGCGUGGGGAGCAAACAGGAUUAGAAACCCCCGUAGUCC